rnacentral:rRNA from 1 species
UUAGGGUGGCCGAUGUCUGAUUAGCUAGUUGGUGGGGUAAAGGCUUACCAAGGCGACGAUCAGUAGCUGGUCUGAGAGGACGAUCAGCCACACUGGGACUGAGACACGGCCCAGACUCCUACGGGAGGCAGCAGUGGGGAAUUUUGGACAAUGGGCGAAAGCCUGAUCCAGCCAUGCCGCGUGAGUGAAGAAGGCCUUCGGGUUGUAAAGCUCUUUCGGUCGGAAAGAAAUAUCUAUAGAAAAUAUCUAUAGAGGAUGACGGUACCGACAUAAGAAGCACCGGCUAACUACGUGCCAGCAGCCGCGGUAAUACGUAGGGUGCAAGCGUUAAUCGGAAUUAUUGGGCGUAAAGGGUGCGCAGGCGGUAUUGUAAGUCAGAUGUGAAAGCCCCGGGCUUAACCUGGGAAUUGCGUUUGAAA